rnacentral:rRNA from 1 species
UACGUAGGGAGCAAGCGUUAUCCGGAUUUAUUGGGUGUAAAGGGUGCGUAGACGGGAAUGCAAGUUAGUUGUGAAAUCCCUCGGCUUAACUGAGGAACUGCAACUAAAACUACAUUUCUUGAGUGCUGGAGAGGAAAGUGGAAUUCCUAGUGUAGCGGUGAAAUGCGUAGAUAUUAGGAGGAACACCAGUGGCGAAGGCGACUUUCUGGACAGUAACUGACGUUGAGGCACGAAAGUGUGGGGAGCAAACAGG